GUAGGGAAUCUUGCGCAAUGGGCGAAAGCCUGACGCAGCCAUGCCGCGUGAAUGAUGAAGGUCUUAGGAUUGUAAAAUUCUUUCACCGGGGACGAUAAUGACGGUACCCGGAGAAGAAGCCCCGGCUAACUUCGUGCCAGCAGCCGCGGUAAUACGAAGGGGGCUAGCGUUGCUCGGAAUUACUGGGCGUAAAGGGAGCGUAGGCGGAUAGUUUAGUCAGAGGUGAAAGCCCAGGGCUCAACCUUGGAAUUGCCUUUGAUACUGGCUGUCUUGAGUUUGGGAGAGGUGAGUGGAACUCCGAGUGUAGAGGUGAAAUUCGUAGAUAUUCGGAAGAACACCAGUGGCGAAGGCGACUCACUGGCCCAAUACUGACGCUGAGGCGCGAAAGCGUGGGGAGCAAACAGGAUUAGAAACCCUAGUAGUCC
rnacentral:rRNA from 1 species